rnacentral:lncRNA from 1 species
UGCUAAUAUUUUACUAUAUUGGUCGACUUACAAUAUUUGUUGUAGUGCCACAUCUAUGACUAUGAGCUCUAUUUUCUUGCGUGUUAUAGGUUAUCAUAUUAUGAUUAGCAUAUGUAUCACUCCAUUGUUUUGUUUUAUGGGGAAACGAAAAUCUAUAUUUGAAACAAUCGAGUGAAGCAAUAGAAGUUUGAGCUAAGUGAUUAAAUUCUUUGGCCACUUUUAUAGAUAGGAAAAGAGAUGAAUAACCGAGUUGAGAACAACACGGACAGAUAUAUGGUGCACUUUUCCAGGUAUUAUUAUCGGCUAUACCUUUUCAAUUAAUUCUUUAUCCAUAUUUGUAAAAUAUAAUUUGUUUUUUUAAAUUAUGCAGGAACGAGGAAAAUUGAAAUAAGGAAGAGCAAGAGCAAGAUGAAUAGACAUUUAAUGUGACAUUGUCACUUAGAUGAUGUGCAUUUUUCCCGUAGC